GAUGAACGCUGGCGGCGUGCCUAAUACAUGCAAGUCGAGCGAACGGACGAGAAGCUUGCUUUUCUGAUGUUAGCGGCGGACGGGUGAGAAACACGUGGAUAACCUACCUAUAAGACUGGGAUAACUUCGGGAAACCGGAGCUAAUACCGGAUAAUAUUUUGAACCGCAUGGUUCAAAAGUGAAAGACGGUCUUGCUGUCACUUAUAGAUGGAUCCGCGCUGCAUUAGCUAGUUGGUAAGGUAACGGCUUACCAAGGCAACGAUGCAUAGCCGACCUGAGAGGGUGAUCGGCCACACUGGAACUGAGACACGGUCCAGACUCCUACGGGAGGCAGCAGUAGGGAAUCUUCCGCAAUGGGCGAAAGCCUGACGGAGCAACGCCGCGUGAGUGAUGAAGGUCUUCGGAUCGUAAAACUCUGUUAUUAGGGAAGAACAUAUGUGUAAGUAACUGUGCACAUCUUGACGGUACCUAAUCAGAAAGCCACGGCUAACUACGUG
rnacentral:rRNA from 1 species